GACGAACGCUGGCGGCGUGCUUAACACAUGCAAGUCGAACGGUAAGGCUCCAGCUUGCUGGGGUACACGAGUGGCGAACGGGUGAGUAACACGUGGGUGACCUGCCCUGCACUUCGGGAUAAGCCUGGGAAACUGGGUCUAAUACCGGAUAGGACCGCACCGUGAGGGUGUGGUGGAAAGUUUUUUCGGUGUGGGAUGGGCCCGCGGCCUAUCAGCUUGUUGGUGGGGUAAUGGCCUACCAAGGCGGCGACGGGUAGCCGGCCUGAGAGGGUGGACGGCCACAUUGGGACUGAGGCACGGCCCAGACUCCUACGGGAGGCAGCAGUGGGGAAUAUUGCACAAUGGGCGGAAGCCUGAUGCAGCGACUCCGCGUGGGGGAUGACGGCCUUCGGGUUGUUAACUCCUUUCACCAUCUACGAAGGUUUUUUGACCGUAGAAGGAAAAGAAGCACCGGGCUAAUUUCGUUCCCGCAGCCGCGUUAAUACGUAGGGGGGAAGCCUGUUCCGGAAAUUACGGGGGGAAAGAGUUCGUAGGGGGUUUGUCGCGUCGUCUGUGAAAUUCCGGGGCUUAACUCCGGGCGUGCAGGCGAUACGGGCAUAACUUGAGUACUGUAGGGGAGACUGGAAUUCCUGGUGUAGCGGUGAAAUGCGCAGAUAUCAGGAGGAACACCGGUGGCGAAGGCGGGUCUCUGGGCAGUAACUGACGCUGAGGAGCGAAAGCAUGGGGAGCGAACAGGAUUAGAUACCCUGGUAGUCCAUGCCGUAAACGGUGGGCGCUAGGUGUGGGUUUCCUUCCACGGGAUCCGUGCCGUAGCUAACGCAUUAAGCGCCCCGCCUGGGGAGUACGGCCGCAAGGCUAAAACUCAAAGGAAUUGACGGGGGCCCGCACAAGCGGCGGAGCAUGUGGAUUAAUUCGAUGCAACGCGAAGAACCUUACCUGGGCUUGACAUAUACAGGAUCGCGCCAGAGAUGGUGUUUCCCUUGUGGCUUGUAUACAGGUGGUGCAUGGUUGUCGUCAGCUCGUGUCGUGAGAUGUUGGGUUAAGUCCCGCAACGAGCGCAACCCUUGUCUUAUGUUGCCAGCACGUUGUGGUGGGGACUCGUAAGAAACUGCCGGGGUUAACUCGGAGGAAGGUGGGGAUGACGUCAAAUCAUCAUGCCCCUUAUGUCCAGGGCUUCACACAUGCUACAAUGGUCGGUACAGUGGGUUGCCAGUCCGUGAGGGCGAGCUAAUCCCGCAAAGCCGGUCUCAGUUCGGAUCGGGGUCUGCAACUCGACCCCGUGAAGUCGGAGUCGCUAGUAAUCGCAGAUCAGCAACGCUGCGGUGAAUACGUUCCCGGGCCU
rnacentral:rRNA from 1 species